rnacentral:lncRNA from 1 species
UUCAGAAUUCAAUUCAGAACUGUAGACUUCGACAGGGACUUAGAGAUCAUCAAUUCCAACCAUGUCAUUUUAGGCUAAGAAAAAAGGGUGAAUAACUUGCCUAUCAAAACUAGGAUUAGAACUCAGGUACUCUGUCUCCUGGAUUUAUUUCUUUCAACUCUACCAAAGGAAUGAUCUCACUUGGGUGAAACGGCCCCAGGAGGCUGAGUUUUAGGUGGGUCAUGGUGAAGGCAGCGUCCCAAAUACAUAUUUUGGGAUUAGAGAGGACAACAUUUCCAAAUCCUUUUUUCAGAGUCCUACACGAAGAAACCUCAAACCCAGGAUUCCAGCCAAAAACAAUGAUUCUCAAGUUCCUAUGAAAUCCUGGAUGGAUGUUGAACUGGGCAACGUACAAGCUGACUCCCGUGGCAGAUGCAAGCCUCAACAGAGAUCCAGGGCGGACACUUCAAAGGGAGUGGAUGUGAUCAUGUGAGUCUGAGUCACACGAGGUAGGCCAUUUGCUCCUAGCAACAGGAUGAGUUCUUAUAUGAAAAUAUGGAGAGCGCUUCUGAGAAGUAAAACCAAACCUUAUCCCCCUUGUAACCUGAUUCACAUGUACUUCACAGCUUCUAGAAAAGCUCACUGAGAAACUUCACACAGAAACUGCCAGGAAAGUAUAUGGAAAGGGGGAUAUUUUGCCCUGAAGCCUAGUAUAAAACAGGACAAACAAAACUAUUAACUCAUUCGUCUAUGCACUCCUUCACUUCUCCAUUCACACAACACUUGACCUCUAUUUUGUAACAGAUGUCACAUGGGACAUCUCACCUUCAAGGGAAGUUAGAGUUCUUGAGUUGGGGUUGUAUUCAGAGGUAGAGCACUUGCCUAGCAUGGGCACUGGGUUUGAUUCUGAGCACCGCAUGUAAAUAAUUAAAAUAAAGGUCCUCCUACCAAAAAAAAAAUUUUUUUAAAAAAGAAACUCAGAGUUCUAAUCCCCAUAAUAUAAAAAGAGGUGCUGCAAACAAUAGGUUAAAGACCACCAUAUUGAAUUAGGACCAAAAGAUAUAUGAAUAUAUUAUUACAGAGAAAAAAGAGAAGCUCACAGAAAAAGGAAUGCAAAAGCUGGCUAACAAUGAAAUUAAGAGUAAAAUACCAUUUUUAGAUAUAAAUCCACUGAAAUUUAAAAUAUUGACAAUAUCCAGGGUCUAAAGGCUAUGGAAAGACAUGAUCUUAACCAAUACCAUGAGCCCUAGAAAUAUAAAUUGAGAUGUUUGACAGUAGCUAUCAAAAUGCUUAAUGUAUAUACAUUUGACACUGCUUUCACUUGCAGAAGCCUAUCUUGACUGGACAUAAUUCCUUUUCUAAUCAUGCAGCAUUCUUUACCCUUUCAAGUAAUUGAAAUAAGCAUAACUCUAGGGAACCACUCCCUUCCCCGUCUGAAGUCCACCUCACUAGGGUAAAUGUGCCUAGGCCUGGCCAAGACAAACAUUGCAUCCCACUAGCCACAAUAAUUGAUAUAGGAAUAGGCCUGGGAGUCAAUGUUACACAAUUUGGGAACAUUUUCCAGGGUUAUUGAGAGAAAAUUGCCCUCUGUGUUCCAAUGGACUUGGAGUUUUAAAGAUGGAAGGUUAGAGAUACUGGUAGCUAUUUUGCCACUGAAAAGGAAGGCCUAUAAAAUGGACCAUCAUGAGGACCACAGAGAAGAUGUGACCAGGUUCCUAUGAUACCCCUUGAGCCCUUGGUAGCUGCCCCUAAAGCCAGACUCAUCCUCUUAACAAUUAAAUUUGCUUUUUGCUUAAGCUAGUUUAGGUUGGGUCUUCUACUGCUUAUAACUAAAAAGCCCAAACAGAAACAUUCAUCUACAGGAUGACUAACACAUGUGUACAAGAUAUAUGUCAUAGCAGAAUUUUUAAAUAGGAAAAAUAUCAGCUCUGUAAGUAUUCACCAACAGAAAAAAUAUCUAAAUAAUUAUAGUUCGUCUUAUACUGUGAUGUACAAAGUUUCGACUAUGGAGAAAGCAAGCUACAGUACAAUAUGUAUAAUGUGAAUUCACAUGUGUGAAAAGACCUAUCUAGGUAUGUGUUCAAUUUCAUUUAUCAUUGUAUAUACACACUGACAACUGCAUUUACAUUUGCAUGUAUACACACAUAUAUGCACAAAUAUAUAUAUGGAGAUAGUUGUACUUUUUAAAUGUGUAAAGAAAAAAAUGUUGCAAGUACAUAUGCCAAACAGUGGUUACUUCUGGGAAGGAGAGUAGACCGAGAUGAAAGGGAGAAUAUUUUAUUCUCCCACAUCAUUUUAGAUGUUUACAAAAAGGAACAGAAAGAGGAAUCCAGACGCAAACAAUGCCAUAUGCAAAGACAAGAGGAUGUUGAAAGACAACACAGAAAUGUUUUAGGUUAGAAUUCCUCCAAAAGCUAAUUCUGAAAUAAAGAUUCCAGUGUGAGUAGUUUGUUUGGAAGCUGAUUCCAGGAAAUACCAAUAGGGAAGUGAGGAAGUAAGGUGAUAAAGGAAGAAAGCAAAUAAAGGUGCAUCAGGCCCAAGCUACCAAGGAGAGUUACUGGAGCUUAAGUGUGCUGGGGAAUUACGUGAAACAAUUGAACACAUGCCAGAGUAAACCCAAGAAAGGAGAGCAGUGAAAUAUGUAGAUACCCAUUCUUCCAGGGAUUACUAACUCCAUAGCACUUGAAGUCUUCCCAACGCAUAGACAGAGUGGGCUAUGCUGGUCACAGAGAAUAUAAGGUGAUGGCCACUGGAAUUUGGGUCAGUGUGCAUAAAAUUGUUAAGCGUUGAGGGAAUGAGCAUAGGGCAAAGAGAUCUUCUGCUUUGAAUGUGUUCUUCUAAGAUUGAUAGGGAACUCAAUAUCAAUGGGGAACAGAUGGUGUUGGGAGAGGUAGGGAAAGAGAUCUGGAAAGAUCAGAGUAAGGCUGGGAGAUUGGGAUGAUAAAGAAGUCUUUUCACCGUAUUCAGAAUUCUUGCCAGUGGGAAGCUACCAGCCUGUAUAAGUAGAGGAGUAAUAAGAUUCACGUUUUAGGAAUUCAUUUUAGAAUAGCUGGUCUAAUUGUGGAAAUCUGGUUGUAUUUGACACAUGGAUGUAUAAACAUUCACUACUGUGUGUGACACAUGUAACACCCCUUCAACAAAUAUUUCUUGAACAUCCACUAUGAAUAUGUAUAAGGCCCCAUGAAUAUGCUUUUGAUAAUUUGUUGAAACAUGAAGUUAGCAGUACAAUCUCUUAAUGAAAUGUAGCUAACUCCAAAAUCACCCUAUUCUUUUUUGGGAGCGGGGGUGCUACAUGGGAUUGAACUCAGGGGCAGUUGACCACUGAACCACAUCCCCAGCCCUAUUUUGUAUUAUUUAGAGACAGGGUCUCACUGAGUUACUUAGUGCUUCACUUUUGCUGAGGCUGGCUUUGAACUCACAAUCCUACUGCCUCAGCCUCCCAAGCUUCUGGAAUUACAGGUGAGCACCACGGUACCCUGGCUUUAUAAUCAUCCUAUUCUAUAUGAGGUCCCACGUCCUCUCUUAAGGGGAAGAACAUAAGAAAGGAGCCACGGCUACAUGGGGCUAUGCUAGUCAAGGAUGCCCGUCUUUUCCCCAGGAUGAGUAUUACACAUGAGUACCAUCCAUCAGAAUUAAAAUUUUUAAAUGUUGGUUUAUAAAAUGGAAAUAGAGCACAAGCUGGAGACAAGUAAGACAACUGGGAAGGAUUCUUGUUUUUCCAGUCAUUCAAGAAAGAGAUGGUGGUCUUGAACUCCAGUGGCAUUUUCAAAAAUUGAAGGAAUAUGAAUCUGGACUAGUCAUCCUCCAUUCAUUGCUUAUCCUAUUGAAUCCCUUUUGCCCUUUCUGAGCCCAGGAGCCAGACCCCAAUGUCCUACAGUACUGAACUCCUCUGUCCUCUGAUUUUUUUUUUUUUUUUGGUGGGGGGCGGGGCGCGGGUCUGGCCUUUGCCAACAGGAAGUAGUGGCCCAAGAUCAAAAGCUGGGAGGAGGCAGAGUGGUGGGAGCAACUCCUUCCCCUGCUCUUUUCACACCCACUCUCCUCACGUUCCACUAUUCAGUCCCCAUCAGACAGCCCCUCUUGCACUGCUCCAAGCUCACAUACAUAGCACUUGUGGAAGCUCCACUGCCACCCUUUGCGCCUGAUUUCCUAGGGAUGAUCACAGCAUGCUGCAUUCGUCCCUAGGUCUUUUCCCACUCUUUCUUAGUGCCCUCAUCCCUAUUCUGUGAGCAGAUCCUAUAUUAAUCUCUUUCCAUUCAGCCCUUUGAGUAUUCAGCUUCCUUCAGGAACUAUAAUUUUUUAUAGAGAAUUAAAUCUUUCAGAGCGUGUAGACAUCCUAUCCAUUGGAUGUGUGCACGGGAGGUUGAGAAGACCAAGACAGAGACUCACGGUUUCUGGUUGGAACAGUAAGGCAGAGAGUUGGCAGUGUCAGGUAUGAAGCCAGAAUCUCACAGGAGUGAGGAGGUUGAGAUGCUGUAGGAAUAAAGAGUGGGUGGAGUCCCUCACAGGUGUAUUAUGGAAAUGCAGCCACCAGAAUAGAGGAGUUAGAGUGGGAGAUGAGAAAUGGCAUCGGGGUUGUAGAUAAGCUUGACACACUUCCAUCUCUUUGUUUUUCCUGCCUCUGGUUCUCCCUUAGCCCCAACCUGUUCCUCUCCCUUCAACCCAGAUUCCCCACAUCCCACGUAAGCAUACCUUCACAGCACAGUAUCCCACGUUUCUAGACUUGACUUUUUCCAUCACCACAAGUUUUCUAGUCUAAUCCCUCAGAGGCCUGAAUACUGUUUUCCAAAGUGACAGUUAACUCCUCUGACAUACUCCUCCACCUAAAAUAAAAGCAAACUCACAUAUUAACUGUUCCAAAAGACCUUUGAGAGAAGGGAGGGGAACAGAAAAAGGAAAGAGAGCAAAAUGAAUCUGAAAUAAUUUUCCUAUGUACUUAUAUGAAUACACCAUAGUGAAUCCCAUCAUUAGGUCCAUCCAUAAGAAUGGUUUCCUAACUAGUAUGAAAUGUAUUCCAUGCUUGUAUAAUUAUACCAAAAUUAAUUCUACUCUCAUGUAUAACUAGGAAGAACCAAUAAAAAAAAAAAAAAGUAUUUGUGCAGUUUCAAAGUACAGUGGCUGGACCACCAACUAGACAAUGAAGUCCUUCUUUAUCAUAAGAGGCUUCUCCUCCUGAAGAGAAAAGAGAGUAUUCUAGGGAGUACUCAGAAAUUCAGGGUAAACAUGGUCCAUCUUCCUGAAACAUCAGUUGCACUCCAAGCUUUGGGAAUGGGUGAUAGUCUUAUAUUAAAUUAAUCAUGAAUAUAUUAUGGAAAGGAUGCAAAAUUCCUAGCAAUUUUUAAGAUAAUAUUUAAGCCUCCAAAGAAUUCACUGCUAAAAAGUUUAUGCUGAAUUUGACCUGCUGGUCAAAGUGAGGGCACUUGGUGGGAAAGUUGAGCUAAAUCAGUGUUUCUCCAAGGACUAUUCCAAAGGCAGGAAUUUCUGGACAUUGAAGGACAAAUAUUUUAGAGCCAGCAAGUCUUAUGAUAUUCCCAUAAAUCAUGCCUCUUUGGCCCACCCAGACACCACAGACAACGCCUGGCCCUUUAGUGACAGUUCCUUGUUUAGCUGCCUUCCCUAACUUUGGAACUUGGUGCACAAAAUACCUUUCCAAUGAUGUAAAUCCACCAUCUCCUACAAGCCUUCUUUAGGUUUUUCUGUGGCACACUAUUUUAAGUAAAACACAUUUGCUUUCUUCCUGCAGUGGACAUAUCCUGAUUACCAGAAAAGUCUGCCAGGGGAUGGAGGAAAAGUGCAUACACCAACUUCUUGAAACAUUUGGCACCUGCCACACUCACCAAUAAAUCUAAACCGGACAGCUUGACAUUUCCUCAAACAAGACCCCACCUCUCAAAGAACACUUGUCCUAACAUGAAAAACAAUAAAAGCCCAGCUGAUAGACUGCAAACCCUUUUCCCUUGUCUGACUGGUGAAGCAAAAAACAAAAAAUUGUUUGCUUGGGCAGUGAUCUAAGCCAUUCCACAGUCGGUAAAAGUUAUAGAGCUGUUCAAGUGGCAUCUGUAAUACCUAUGAGAAUCUUCAAAUUAGAAGAAUUCAUAUGCUGUGUCAACCCUCAAUUUUCUGAAACCUACCUGUCUAAAGAAAACUGCACUCUGCUCUUCUUGAGCAUUGUACAAUCUUGAAUGAAGGCUCUGGGGCUUGUCCCAUCCUUUUCUGCUUUGUAAAAACACAGUUGUCAGUUCCGGCUUUAGAAACAAUUCAACUUAUAAACAAUUUAAUGGAGCUUUCCUGUCUCCUCCUUUCCCCUUUAACGUGGAGCUUUCCUCAGUUUUUUUCAAAGAAGACCGUAGCUUCCCCAUCAAGGCCUCACUCCCACAGACCCUCCUCCUCCUCUCUACUCAAAGGCUAUCAAGUUCUUCCAAAAAGAAGGCAGAAUAUAGCAGAGCCUCUAUCAGUUUCCCAGUCCACAGAACUGCCCCUUCAAAGAGCUGGAAAUUUGGGUCUUGACAGCUCUGAUCACAUUCAUUCCAGUUCAGCCACUUGGGGAAUCCAGUAGGUCUUUGUGAUGGCCAGGGAAGAUAACCAUCCCUUGGAACAUUGUUCUAAAGAAAAAAUGCAUCCACAGUUCCAAGGGACUUUGGAGCAGAACAUUUUCACAUGAUAGGAUGUGAUCUACACAAUAUGUUACAGACUUAAUGCAUGGUUUCUAUGGACUCACAAGAUUUCAUGGGAGUUUCCUAGCGAUGUCACCAAAAAUUAAUCUAGGGGCCUUUGGGAAAGGCUGGGAAGACCAUUCACUUGCUUAAAAAGCAUUAUUAGCAAAGUCAGGGCCAAAAGUUCAUUCCUUGAAUUUGGUUUUUGUUAUUUUGUAAAAGCAUCAGAAAUAGUCACAUUGGAGGAAAUUGUAACUGCCUUGGACUUUCAUUUAUUUCAUGGCUUGAUGUUAUUUUAAAUUCUAUAUGGAGAAACCAAGCUUAAAUCUUUUUAGCAAUAUUAAACAGAUCUUGAUGCUCAACAGAGAGGAAAAAUAUUAAUAGUUGUAUCGAUGCUAGCCUUGGUUUUGGCACUAACUGGCUAAUAUCCCGUAUGUACAUUUUCUCAUGAAUUGAGAUUGUCUAAGGAUUUCUUCCAGUUUUAACAUUUCAUUAUGCCUGUUAUUUCUCCCUGUCUUCAUGAAUGUUUCUGCAAUGGACUUUGUUUCCCUGGAUUAAUUUGUACCAAUACCUUCGUGGUUUAAUUAUAAACACAAUAUGCCUCCUACUUCCAUGAAUUGGCUUUUCCAGAUAAUAUGGAGCAGCAGAUAAUAUGGAGGAUCUCAGCAGAUUCUAUUUACAACCUCAGUACAUAUCAUUUGCAAAACCACCCUAAGAUCAUUCAGAGACUACUGUUAAAAUUUACAAUAUUCCAUCAUUACCCUAAGUAAACGUAUGAAGACACAAAGGAUGUGACUCUACUUUGUGUACAACUGAGAUAUGAAAAAUUGUGCUCUAUAUGUGUAAUAUGAAUUGUAAUGCAUUCUGUUAUCAUAUAUAACAAGUUAAAAAUUUUUAAAAAGCAUUUAAAUUUACAAUAUUUAAGUUAGACACUAUUGAAUUCCAUCUACCAAAUACCAAACAGUUAGAAAAUUUUCCUCAAAAUUCAUUACAUUUCAACAUACUUUACUGUUCACAUUAACUUAAAUGAAGUGGGUAGCAAGACACACUAGAUUAUGAAAAUAUCACAAAACUCUGUCAGUUUAUGUAAAAGAAAAAAAUUGAGUAAAUGUUUUCUUCUCUGUGUUGUGUAUCCCACUCCCAUGUACACACACAAACACACUUGCACUCACCAUCCCUCCUAUGUGUAUCAAAGGUUUCCUUUUAACAGUCAAUGCACAUUGAGCAUAAACCAAGUCUUACUUUGCAGAAAGUCCUUGAUUCCAAGGAACUUUAAAUAAAACCACUUGCUAAGUCAAAACAGCUUUCAUGAUCUUUGAAACCAGAUUUUUAAAAAUGAGUCUGCUUACUAUGGGUCAAAUGGGCCUAUGGGUCAAAUCUGGCUUAACUCCUGUUUAUGUAUACCUACAAGCUCAAAAUGGUCUUGACAUUUUCAAAUAAUUGGAAUGCAACACCUACUUGCUUCUAUAUUUUUUCAUAUCUACUUUCAGACUAUUACACAUAAGUCAAGAAAUUGUAACAAGACUGUAUGGCCCACAACUGAAAUAUUUACUAUCUGGCUAUUUACAGGGAGAAAAAAAUGUGUGCUAACCCAUGAAAUAGACUUAUACUUUGAUUCUGCCUCUUAAUAUUUAUGAAAUUAAGUGAGUCCCUCACCAUCUGUAAGCUCAGUUUUCUCUUUCCAAAUUAUGAUGAUAUCCAACUUGUAAGUGAUUAGAUUGAGGCUUGGCCCCACAUACAUUGGUUCCCUUGUCUUUCUUCAUGUAGCUGUCAGAGGCAUUGGGCCAGCAGAUGUUGGCAAAGUUCUAUCUUGCAAAGAGGGCAAACCACAUCAUAUCUUGGUUACAAGAACCAGUACUGGGCUUCUGGGUCUGUUUUAUUAAGUAAUGUUUGGCCAAUACCUGGAUUUUUUGUUAUUUUCCUUUUAGCAGAGGUGAAAGUGGAUAUUAAAGAAAUUGCAUCUACCACUUUUUUUAGUUGACUCCUAGGGAAACUCUGGACCACAAGGAAAGUGUAUUUUAGUUAUUCAACUGAUAAACUAUAUAAAGGUAGUAUUAAGAUUUUGAGGGUUCAGACAUCUCUCUCCAUGGAAUUUGGAAUUAUUUAUUCAGCAUGCAAUUACUUCAAAGCAUAACAACUCCAAAUAAGAACCCCAAAUCACAAAGCCCUUUGAGACUUCUCAGCUGUUCACUGAACCUCUGCCCACUUCAUUCAAAAACCAUUUUACCACUAAGUCAAUUCAACAUGGAAAACCAUACUCUGAAACCAGUCAAGCAGAUGAUUCCUACCUCAGAAGGAAACCACUGUGUUUAGAGAAGUCUGAGUACAAAGUUGGGUACUUUCUACCUAACUGGGAGCCGGGUAUGCUUUUGUGGAAUGAACUUUGGAAGUAAGCAAGCCUAUGUUCAGAUAUCCAAAUGACAUUGCCCAUCUGGCUCUCAGUUUCAGUCACCCUAUCAGGGUAGUGAGGGAAACAGUUUUUACCACAAAAAUUGAUGGUAGUAAAAUAAGAUGAUUUAGCAUACUAUGAGCUAUAGGCAAUGCCUUGCAUUCAACAUUUGCUCAGCAAUUGUUCAUUCUUUACUCCAUACCCAGAUUUCAAGUUAAGUGAAGGGUUUGGGAUUGCUACUCUAUUGAAGGCCUGCCAGCACCAGGAACUAUAGCUACAUAUAAGAUGUCAGUUAAUAUUUGCCAGAGCCCUGCGUGGGUGAUGGUUUUAGUCAGUUUUGUGUUGCUAUGACCAAAAGACCUGACAAGAACAAUGUAAAGGAGGAAAAGUUUAUUUUGGCUCACCAUUUCAGAGGUCUCCAUCCACAAAUGGCUGACUCCAUAGCUGUGGACCCCAAGGUGAAGCAGAACAUUGUGACAAAAGAGCAUGGCACAGGAAAUCAGCUCAGGACACAGCAACAAGGAAGCUGAGCAUUCUGCUUCCCUGAGCAUUCUGCUUCCAGGGACAAAAUAUAUACUCCAAAAGAACGCUCCCAGUGACCUACCUCCUCCGGUCACCUUUACUUACCUACAGUUACCACCCAGUUAAAUCAUAUCAAUAGCUUAAUCCACUGAUUAGGUUAUAUAUCUCACAAUCUAACCAUUUCACCUCUGAAUAUUCUUGCAUUGUCUCACACAUGAGCUUUGGGGGGAUACCUUGUAUCUAAACUGUAAUGGUGCUAUUUCUGGCUACAACUUUUUAAAUUUAUAUAUGACAGCGGAAUGCAUUACAAUUCACAUAUAGAGCACAAAUUUUUCAUAUCUCUGGUUGUAUACAAAGUAUAUUCACACCAGUUCAUGUCUUCAUACAUGUACUUUGGAUCAUCACAUUCCACCAUCAUUUCUAACCCCAUGCCCCCUCCAUUCCCCUCCCACCCUUCUGCCCUAUCUAGAGUUUGACUAUUCCUCCUAGGCUCCCUCUCCCUACCCCACUAUGAAUCAGCCUCCUUAUAUCAGAGAAAACAUUCAGCAUUUUUUUUUGGGGGGGGGAUUGGCUAACUUCCCUUAGCAUUAUCUUCUCUAACUCCAUCCAUUUACCUGCAAAUGCCUUG